AUUGAACGCUGGCGGCAGGCUUAACACAUGCAAGUCGAGCGAGCGGCGGACGGGGGAGUAAUGCCUGGGAAACUGCCCGAUGGAGGGGGAUAACUACUGGAAACGGUAGCUAAUACCGCAUACCAUCAGAUGUGCCCAGAUGGGAUUAGCUCUUAGUUGGGGAAACGGCUCACCUAGGCGACGCUCCCUAGCUGGUCUGAGAGGAUGACCAGCCACACUGGAACUGAGACACGGUCCAGACUCCUACGGGAGGCAGCAGUGGGGAAUAGUGCACAAUGGGCGCAAGCCUGAUGCAGCCAUGCCGCGUGUGUGAAGAAGGCCUUCGGGUUGUAAAGCACUUUCAGCGGGGAGGCGUUACCCGCAGAAGAAGCACCGGCUAACUCCGUGCCAGCAGCCGCGGUAAUUC
rnacentral:rRNA from 1 species